rnacentral:rRNA from 1 species
AAUGAACGUUGGCGGCAUGGAUUAGGCAUGCAAGUCGAGCGAGAAGGAUUUCAAAGUUUACUUUGGAAUCUGGAAAGCGGCGCAAGGGAGAGUAACGCGUAGUUAUCUACCCCAAGGCCCGGAAUAGCUGCGGGAAACUGCAGGUAAUGCCGGAUAAUAUCCCCGGAUCAAAGGUGUGAUUCCGCCUUGGGAGGAGACUGCGUUGUACUAGCUUGUUGGUAGGGUAAUGGCCUACCAAGGCUACGAUGCAUAGCGGGCGUGAGAGCGUGGCCCGUCUCACUGGGACUGGAACACUGCCCAGACACCUACGGGUGGCUGCAGUCGAGAAUCUUCGGCAAUGGGCGAAAGCCUGACCGAGCAAUGCCGCGUGCGGGAUGAAGGCCCUCGGGUUGUAAACCGCUGUCGUAGGGGAGAAAGGUCUCAUGAAGAAUGAGAUUUGAUCUAUCCUAGGAGGAAGUCCGGACUAAGUUCGUGCCAGCCGCCGCCGUAAUAC